rnacentral:rRNA from 1 species
GAUGAACGCUGGCGGCGUGCCUAAUACAUGCAAGUCGAGCGAACGGACGAGAAGCUUGCUUCUCUGAUGUUAGCGGCGGACGGGUGAGUAACACGUGGAUAACCUACCUAUAAGACUGGGAUAACUUCGGGAAACCGGAGCUAAUACCGGAUAAUAUUUUGAACCGCAUGGUUCAAAAGUGAAAGACGGUCUUGCUGUCACUUAUAGAUGGAUCCGCGCUGCAUUAGCUAGUUGGUAAGGUAACGGCUUACCAAGGCAACGAUGCAUAGCCGACCUGAGAGUGUGAUCGGCCGCAGUGGAAAGGAGACACGGUCCAGACGCCGGCGGGAGGACGCAGGCGGGGAUCGUGCGGAAUGGGGGAAAGCCUGACGGAGCAACGCCACGUGAGUGAUGAAGGUCUUCGGAUCGUAAACCUUUGUUAUUAGGGAAGAAAAUAAGUGUAAGUAACUGUGCACAUCUUGACGGUACCUAAUCAGAAAGCCACGGCUAACUACGUG